rnacentral:misc_RNA from 1 species
AACCUAAUCAAGGGACCAGAUCCUAGAGCUGCAACAGAGUUGAUAAAAAUUGAUGGAAUACCUGAUAGAAUUGUUCGACAUUUAAAGAAAGGGGAUGAUGAGUUGGCCACUGAAGUAGCAUGGGUCGUUGUGUAUCUCACUGCCCUUUCAAAUGUUGCAACUACAAUACUGGCAAAGAGUGAUCUCGUACAAGUACUGGUAGAAAUAUUGGACAUGUCAACUAGCCUGCAACUGCUUAUCCCGGUGCUGCGGAGCUUGGGAAAUCUUGUGGCUGGUGAACCUCAUAUAACUAAUUUUGUUCUUGUUGCGAGACAUGCGCUAACAGGUGAUGCCAUUCAAGCAUUAGUAAAGUGCUUAAAGAGUGAACACCGUAUCUUGAAUAAGGAAGCUGCAUGGGUGCUAUCUAAUAUAGCUGCUGGUUCAGUGGAGCAUAAGCAGUUGAUAUAUUCAAGUGAAGCUAUGCCGCUUCUUUUAAAUCUUCUUUCUAAAGCUGCAUUUGACAUAAAAAAGGAGGUAGCGUAUGUCCUGGGAAACAUCUGUGUCGCCCCUACUGAAGGUUCCGGAAGGCCAAAUGUGAUUCUUGACCACUUGGUCAAUCUUGUUCGUGGGGGAUGCCUAACUGGUUUUCUGGAUUUGGUAAGAUCUGCUGAUGUUGAGGCAGCGAGAUUGGGACUGCAAUUCAUUGAGCUGGUGUUGAGAGGAAUGCCAAAUGGAGAGGGUCCGAAGCUCGUUGAAAGGGAAGAUGGUAUUGAUGCAAUGGAAAGAUAUCAAUUUCAUGAAAAUGAAGAACUCAGGAGCAUGGCGAACGAGCUGGUUGAUAGUUAUUUCGGAGAAGAGUAUGGGCUUGAUGAGUAAGAACAUGUCAUGUGUCAACUGAUUUGGUUCUCUAACUACUAUGAAGCUUGUUGCUCAACAAGAUGUGCA